rnacentral:rRNA from 1 species
UCGGGAAUAUUGCGCAAUGGAGGAAACUCUGACGCAGUGACGCCGCGUAUAGGAAGAAGGUUUUCGGAUUGUAAACUACUGUCGUUAGGGAAGAUAAAAGACUGUACCUAAGGAGGAAGCCCCGGCUAACUAUGUGCCAGCAGCCGCGGUAAUACAUAGGGGGCAAGCGUUAUCCGGAAUUAUUGGGUGUAAAGGGUGCGUAGACGGAAGAACAAGUUGGUUGUGAAAUCCUUCGGCUCAACUGAGGAACUGCAACCAAAACUAUUCUCCUUGAGUGUCGGAGAGGAAAGUGGAAUUCCUAGUGUAGCGGUGAAAUGCGUAGAUAUUAGGAGGAACACCAGUGGCGAAGGCGACUUUCUGGACGAUAACUGACGUUGAGGCACGAAAGUGUGGGGAGCAAACAGGAUUAGAUACC